rnacentral:rRNA from 1 species
AGAGUUUGAUCCUGGCUCAGAACGAACGCUGGCGGCAUGCCUAACACAUGCAAGUCGAACGAGACCUUCGGGUCUAGUGGCGCACGGGUGCGUAACGCGUGGGAAUCUGCCCUUAGGUACGGAAUAACUCAGGGAAACUUGUGCUAAUACCGUAUGAUGUCGCAAGACCAAAGAUUUAUCGCCUAGGGAUGAGCCCGCGUUGGAUUAGCUAGUUGGUGGGGUAAAGGCCUACCAAGGCUACGAUCCAUAGCUGGUCUGAGAGGAUGAUCAGCCACACUGGGACUGAGACACGGCCCAGACUCCUACGGGAGGCAGCAGUGGGGAAUAUUGGACAAUGGGCGAAAGCCUGAUCCAGCAAUGCCGCGUGAGUGAAGAAGGCCUUCGGGUUGUAAAGCUCUUUACCCGGGAAGAUAAUGACUGUACCGGGAGAAUAAGCCCCGGCUAACUCCGUG